UACCAGCACCCCGAGUGGUCGGGACGUUUAUUGGGCCUAAAGCAUCCGUAGCCGGUUCUACAAGUCUUCCGUUAAAUCCAGCUGCUUAACAGAUGGGCUGCGUAAGAUACUAUGGAGCUAGGAGGCGGGAGAGGCAAGCGGUACUCGAUGGGUAGGGGUAAAAUCCGUUGAUCCAUUGAAGACCACCAGUGGCGAAGGCGGCUUGCCAGAACGCGCUCGACGGUGAGGGAUGAAAGCUGGGGGAGCAAACCGG
rnacentral:rRNA from 1 species